rnacentral:piRNA from 1 species
UCGGUUACAAAAGUCCAUUUA